rnacentral:rRNA from 1 species
UGGGGAAUAUUGGACAAUGGGGGCAACCCUGAUCCAGCAAUGCCGCGUGUGUGAUGAAGGCCUUAGGGUUGUAAAGCACUUUCACUGGUGAAGAUGAUGACGGUAACCAGAGAAGAAGCCCCGGCUAACUUCGUGCCAGCAGCCGCGGUAAUACGAAGGGGGCGAGCGUUGUUCGGAAUUACUGGGCGUAAAGGGAGCGCAGGCGGUUCAUUCAGUUAGGCGUGAAAGCCCCGGGCUCAACCUGGGAACUGCGCUUAAUACUGAUGAGCUAGAAAACAGGAGAGGGUAGUGGAAUUUCCAGUGUAGAGGUGAAAUUCGUAGAUAUUGGAAAGAACACCGGUGGCGAAAGCGGCUACCUGGCCUGGUUUUGACGCUGAGGCUCGAAAGCGUGGGGAGCAAACAGG